rnacentral:rRNA from 1 species
AGAUUGAACGCUGGCGGCAGGCCUAACACAUGCAAGUCGAGCGGUAGAGAGGUGCUUGCACCUCUUGAGAGCGGCGGACGGGUGAGUAAUGCCUAGGAAUCUGCCUAGUGGUGGGGGAUAACGUUCGGAAACGGACGCUAAUACCGCAUACGUCCUACGGGAGAAGCGGGGGACCUUCGGGCCUCGCGCCAUUAGAUGAGCCUAGGUCGGAUUAGCUAGUUGGUGAGGUAAUGGCUCACCAAGGCGACGAUCCGUAACUGGUCUGAGAGGAUGAUCAGUCACACUGGAACUGAGACACGGUCCAGCUCCGUACGGGAGGCAGCAGUGGGGAAUAGUUAGGACAAGUGGGACGAAAGCCUAGAUACCACGCCAUCGACCGGCGUGGUGGUGAAAGGUAAGGUCUUCGGAAUUGUAAAGCCUAA